rnacentral:lncRNA from 1 species
UAUCAUUCCUUAAGUCCCAUAGGUUUGAUCCUGUAGAAUUUGAUCCAUUUUCUCAUUGAACGAAAGGUACGAAAUAAAUCAGAUUGAUAAAAGUACCAUGUGAAAUCUUCGGUUUUUCCCCUUCCUCGAUCCAUAUCCCAUAGGUUAGGUACAGUGUUUGAAUCAAUAGAGAACCUUUUCUUCUGUAUGAAUCAAUAUUAUUCCAUUUCAAAUUCUUCCCGAUACCUCCCAAGGAAAAUCUUGAAUUUGGAUCCCCAAUCGACGGGUUAGUGUGAGCUUAUCCACGCGGUUAUGCACUCAUAAAGAACGAACAAGAGUAAAAACAAAGUUGAUUCAAAUAAAGAUUUCUCUGGUACCCUAUGUCAAUAAAAGUAAAAGAAAGAAAAUAAGGGCGAAAGAAAGAUACCAAAGCAAUGUUGUAUCAGGCUGCCUGUCUUUUUGUAGUUGAAUCUCCAAGUUUUUGGAAUGCUUCAAAUUUCACUUGAGCAU